CUCUCGGAGACCUGUCAUUUAUUUGAGUGGUGGGUAAGGGUCUUGGUUAUAGGGACAUAGACCUGUCAUUUACUUGAGUGGGUGGUAAGGGGUUGGGUUAUAGGGACAUAGGCCUGUCAUUUACUUGAGUGGGUGGUAAGGGGCUGGGUUAUAGGGGCAGAGACCUGCCAUUUAUUUGAGUGGGUGGUAAGGGGCUGGGUUACAGGGACAUAGACCUGUCAUUUAUUUGAGUGGGUGGUAAGGGGCUGGGUUAUAGGGGCAGAGACCUGCCAUUUAUUUGAGUGGUUGGUAAGGGGUUGGGUUACAGGGACAGAGACCUGCCAUUUAUUUGAGUGUGUGGUAAGGGGCUGGGUUAUAGGGACAGAGACCUGCCAUUUAUUUGAGUGUGUGGUAAGGGGUUGGGUUACAGGGACAGAGUCCUGCCAUUUAUUUGAGUGUGUGGUAAGGGGUUGGGUUACAGGGACAGAGUCCAGCCAUUUAUUUGAGUGUGUGGAAAGGGGUUGGGUUAUAGGGACACUCUCGGAGACCUGUCAUUUACUUGAGAGGGAGGUAAGGGGCUGGGUUACAGGGACAGAGUCCUGCCAUUUAUUUGAGUGUGUGGAAAGGGGUUGGGUUAUAGGGACACUCUCGGAGACCUGUCAUUUAUUUGAGUGGUGGGUAAGGGUCUUGGUUAUAGGGACAUAGACCUGUCAUUUACUUGAGUGGGUGGUAAGGGGUUGGGUUAUAGGGACAUAGGCCUGUCAUUUACUUGAGUGGGUGGUAAGGGGCUGGGUUAUAGGGGCAGAGACCUGCCAUUUAUUUGAGUGGGUGGUAAGGGGCUGGGUUACAGGGACAUAGACCUGUCAUUUAUUUGCGUGGGUGGUAAGGGGGUGGGUUAUAGGGACAUAGACCUGUCAUUUAUUUGAGUGGGUGGUAAGGGGCUGGGUUAUAGGGGCAGAGACCUGCCAUUUAUUUGAGUGGUUGGUAAGGGGUUGGGUUAUAGGGGCAGAGACCUGUCAUUUACUUGAGAGGAAGGUAAGGGGCUGGGUUACAGGGACAGAGACCUGCCAUUAUUUGAGUGGGUGGUAAGGGGCUGGGUUAUAGGGACAGAGACCUGCCAUUUAUUUGAGUGGGUGGAAAGGGGUUGGGUUAUAGGGACACUCUCGGAGACCUGUCAUUUAUUUGAGUGGUGGGUAAGGGUCUUGGUUAAAGGGACAUAGACCUGUCAUUUACUUGAGUGGGUGGUUAAGGGGCUGGGUUAUAGGGACAUAGACCUGUCAUUUACUUGAGAGGGAGGUAAGGGGCUGGGUUAGAGGGACAGAGACCUGCCAUUAUUUGAGUGGGUGGUAAGGGGCUGGGUUAGAGGGACAGAGACCUGCCAUUUAUUUGAGUGGGUGGUAAGGGGCUGGGUUAGAGGGACAGAGACCUGC